CUCUUGCUGUGCUACACUCGUUUCUUUGCCUUGCCUAUACCUCUGUGUUUGUUGUGUGUGUGAACCCUAACAGGCCCCACCACCACUACAGCGACGCAGGCGUGCGCUCUCCCAGUUGCUCCGCUUUUCUAUAGUGCUGCAUGCUCAGCUAGCUCUAUUGUCGACUUCCACUUUCCGCCCUUCUGUGUGGAUGUGGUGUGUCUUCUCCCCAUUGCCUGUGCACGUCUCUUUCUCCCGUUGCUGCACAGCAGCUCCUGCCCCUCAGUCGAUCAUUCAACUGCGACUCUUGCCGCGCCUUCUUGUACGUGCCGCGCACGGAGCACGCUUCAGGAGAGAGUGCCCAGCGCUUUACUAGCCACGGCAACUCCUGUUGGACUCUUUCCCUUCUCCACCUCCCCCUUUUUUCUUCCGUCGUAGAUCACCUCACACACGGUGUCCUUCACGACGACGACGCAAUCAGCCACCUUCUACGGCACCUUCGCGCAGCGUCACGCGCAUGCGAGGACGAUUCGCACCGCGACGGGGACGCACGGCAACGGACAGACAGAGUGCGUAUCACUUGCUGUGUCUCAAGAUUGCAUCAGAUCUGCAGUCAACCUCACUGACCCUGCGUCCUUGUGUGAGGUCAGACAUCACCAUUUCGACGACUGCUGCGGUUCCUGUCCUUUAUCCACAACGAUGGGCGCGACGACUGCUCAAGUGGCUGGCGACAGGCAAGCAACGCGCCGCGUCACGCUGAACGUCUUUGGGAUGACGUGCAGGGGAUGUGCUCAGCACGUGCAAGAGAAUUUGAUGACACUGGGGGGAGUGCACUCCGUCUCCGUGGACCUCGACGCGCAGCUUGCCGAGGUGGAUGUGGACGCGACCGAUGCAGCUUCUGAGUUUCGCAUCGAGCAGAAGGUGGUUUCGAUGGGCUACACAGUGCAGCCCGCGGUACUGCCGUCGUGCGGGGCGCCGGGGCGAGAAGAGAGUGAGCUCUCACCAGCGCCGCCCCCUUUGCGUCCCAGUGCGGCAAGUCUCUCCCACGUCUCCUCCAUUGCCUCUGUGCCGACGUGCUGUGCGUCACAGCUGCAGCGGUCCAGCGAGACGUCCAAGUCGACGGAAACGAGCUCGCUGCGACAGGGCGGCGGCUUCUUACCUUUCUCUCGCCGCUUCCGCCGGGUGCCGUGCGGCUGCGGUGGGCGCGGGUGCCUGUGCGCCUACGCGCCUGAGCCGGUGAUGGUGACGGAGGAGACGCGUCUGCUUCCUGAAAAUGACUCGGAGGAAUGCCUGUCGGAGAGGGCCGACUCGCCAUCGUCGGUGGACAUUACUGUGGAUGCCGUCCAGGCUCGCGCCUCACAGAGGCGCCGUGCCCCUGUGGGUGUCCGCGCCACGCCGCCGACGGCUGCAGCGGCAGCGGCGGAAGCCAAGACGAGCCUCCUGAUCGAGGGCAUGUCGUGCACCUCUUGUGCUGCUCGCAUCGAGGCAAAACUCAAGCAGCUCAAGGGCGUGCUCGGCGUGUCUGUGAACUUCUCAGCCAUGAGUGGGCAGGUACUGCACAACCCUGCUCUUGCAUCACUCCAGAAGGUUGUGAGCUGUGUGGCCGACAUGGGCUACAUCGUGACGGCACAGGACACAACCGCCCCACUCGGCACCGCCGACGGCGAGCCACCACAACAGGGCGAGUGCAAGUGCCGCACCAACCUGCGAGCCGUCCCGGUGCAUGUAGGGAGCCUCAUGUCGGGCUAUGAGCAUCGCGUGGUUGUUCUAGGUAUGUCAUGUGCCUCCUGCGCAGCCCGUAUAGAGCACAGGUUGCGGCAGAUGCCCACUGUCCUGAGCUGUACCGUCUCCUUCGCUACUGGCACCGCCGUCAUCACGACCUGCACCCCCAGCGGCUUCACGGACGCAUGCAAGAUGGUGCGCUCGAUGGGGUAUACUGUGACAGAGACGGCGCUGAUGAAGCCUGACUCCUCCAUUAGCCGCACUCGUGAGGCGCUCGAGCGCGCGCGCGAAAUCGCGGAGCAUGAGCGCAACCUGAUCGGCAGCGCACUGCUGAGCGUGCCACUCGCGGCGGUGAUGGUCUUGACAGUGUUCAUGGACAUCAUGGCGCGGCCGCUGCUGGCGCUCAUGAUCGACGGGAUGCAGUUCUGCGUCGUCACCCCGAUCGUCUUCCACUUUGGUCAAGGCUUCUUCCUCAGCGCGUGGCGCAGCUGGCAGCACGGCGCCUACACGAUGGAUACGCUCGUUGCCAUUGGCACGGGCUGCACAUACGCCUACUCCACUGUUGUCUACCUGCUCACGCUGUUUGUGUACCCGCAUGCGCGUAUGAUGACGUACUUUGACACGGCAGGAAUGCUGACAACCUUCAUGCUACUUGGCCGCUUCCUCGAGGCGCGGGCAAAACGCAGCGCAAGUGGGGCGGUCAUUGAGCUGAUGAGUCUGAUGCCGACAACGGCCGUGUGCGUGCAGCCAGACGGGAGUGAGGUGCGGGUGAGCGCGUCGCAGCUGCAGAAGGGCGCCCUCGUGCGUGUGCUGGCCGGCGAUCGUGUUCCUGUCGACGGCACUAUCGUCGAAGGCAGCUCCGAGUUGGACGAGCAGAUGGUGACAGGCGAGUCACUGUCGAAGCAGAAGAAGCCCGGCGAAGAGGUGGUCGGCGGCACCCUUAACAUCACCGGAUCGCUGCUCAUCCGCGCGGACAAGGUUGGGGAAGAGACGAUGAUCGCGCAGGUGCUGCGUAUUGUGCAGGAGGCUCAAAACACAAAGCCAUCUAUCCAGCGCGCUGCCGACCGAAUCGCCAUGUCGUUUGUGCCUUUCGUCCUCGUCUUCUCCCUCCUGACGCUCGGCUUGUGGCUUUUGCUCGGUGUGACGGACGCGUACCCGGUGUCGUGGCGCGGGGCGGAGACAAGCUGGCAGGCGUUCGCCUUCAACUUCUUCAUCUCAACCGUUGUCGCCGCCUGUCCGUGCGCGCUGGGACUGGCCACUCCGACAGCGAUCAUGGUGGGCACCGGCGUGGGGGCGAAAAACGGAGUGCUGGUAAAGAGUGGCACCACGCUGGAGGAGGUGCGAAGUGUCAACUGCGUCGUGCUCGACAAGACGGGCACCAUCACCAACGGUCGGCUGGAGGUGGUUCGGACACACAUGAUAAUGGCGGGUUUGGCGUUGCCUCCAACUACGACCGCGCAGCCUCAUGGCAGCUCGGAUGUUGCCUUGGUGCGCUGCCUUGUCGGGCUCGUGGAGGCGCAGUCUAACCACCCUAUCGCGAAGGCGGUCAGCGCCAAGCUACUGGCGGAGACUGACAGCGGCACGGACGAGGUGCAGCGCCGCGCCCGCUAUGGGGUGUCAUCCGUUGUGACGCAUGGUGGCAAGGGCGUGGAGGCCUCGGUGACCGUGAGGCCAGCAAGCGACGACAACGGCAAGGUCUCUUCCGAGCCGCCACCGCCGCGAGCGCAUCAUGUCCUCGUCGGGAAUGUGGCGCUUCUGCGCGAGCACGGCGUUUCGUUAACCCGUGAGGUGGCCCACCUCGUCGAGGAGGAGAACGGGCACGGUCUGACAACUGUUGUUGCUGCGGUCGAUGGCGCAGCGUGCGUUGUCGUCAGCCUUGCCGACGGCCCGAAGCGUGAGGCGCACGGUGUCAUCCGGUAUCUGCACAAGGCUGGGAUUCGCGUGCUGAUGGUCACGGGCGACAACGCCGGCGUGGCGGGCCGGAUCGCGGCCGAGGUCGGAAUCCACUCGAAAGAUGUGUACGCCGAGGCGCUUCCUAUCGCCAAGGCGGAGAUUGUUAAGGAGCUGCAGGAGCAGGGGUCGCGGGUGAUGUUCGUUGGCGAUGGCAUCAACGACAGCCCCGCCCUGGCACAGGCCAACGUCGGAGUCGCCCUCGGCGCUGGCACCGAAGUGGCGAUUGAGGCGGCCGACGCGGUGCUCGUGCACGAUAGCCUUGUGGAUCUGCUGAACUUGCAAUCCCUAUCCAAGGUCACUGUGCGACGCAUCUACGGCAACUUCAUCUGGGCCUUUGGGUACAAUCUGCUGAUGCUCCCCACUGCCAGCGGGCUGCUGUACCCUUUCUUUCACAUUCGGCUUCCUCCCGUCGCGGCGGGCGCGGCGAUGAUGUUGUCCAGCCUCAGCGUUCUGACAUCGAGCCUGACCAUCCGCUGCUUCCGCGCACAUCGCGAACGCGAUUUUUAUUUCACGUGAGCCAACGCCGGGCUCGGCGGCUUUUGUUUUCCCUUGUCUUGUGGAUCUUUCGGGCCUUCCCUUUUCGCUCUCGGUUAUUUAUGCGCAUACACGAAUGGCACCUCGUGAGUGCGCCGUGUAUGCCCCUGGGCGGUGCGAGCGCGCGCGCGUCAUCGUCGUCAUCGUCGUACGCAUUGGACCCCUUUUUUGUGUCUGUUCAGAUUAUGUGUCUCAUCUCUCCUACUGUGACUGCUCUCGAUGCACCAUUCGCCACCACAGUCGUACUCACCCCCUCGCCAACAUAUGCCUACACGCACUGCACAUGAAGACAACAGUGAGGUAUGAGGCGAAAGACCGCGAGGAGCCAAAACAAAAUGAGGCGCCCCCUCUUACGCACCAGCCACGCGAGUCACUCACCACGCAUACGUGCACGCAAGGUAGGCGACUGACUCUCCGUGCACCGAGCAUCGUAUUGGACGCCGUGUGCCGGGUGGCUGCGUGGGCGGUGCCAUGCAUGCGGCUAUGGCAGGCUUUGCCUUCUCCGCCUCCUUCUACGUCUUUGCCCUUGUGAUUGUGUACGAGCUGCGUCUCUGUUUUGUUCUCUCCGGUGACUGAGGCGGCGCACUGCUGUACUGGCGCGCCUAGGGCUGCCAUCGCACCGCGCGAUGUGGGGUCUGCGACAGGCCGGGUAGCAUGGAGCUGGCCUCGUUGAAGCGACAGAACGGUGUGCUUUCUCUUCGUGCAAGGCGUGCUGCCACUAGAAGCUGCUGAGUUGGUAAGGCACGAGGAAAAGGAUGAACGUAGUCGUUGGCCCUGAGUGACGCACUCACAGGAGAGCGAGUGGAGGAUUUGGGGAGCAUGAGGGAGAGGACUGCCGCGUUGUCGAGUUAUCGAGGCUCGGCAUUGCUUAAUACCGCAGCGAUGCACUGUGUUCGACGAGUUGGCAGUAUGCCUCGUCUCCACGUCGCCUCCCUCCU
rnacentral:misc_RNA from 1 species